AAAUGAAUUGACGGGGACCCGCACAAGCGGUGGAGCAUGUGGUUUAAUUCGAAGCAACGCGAAGAACCUUACCAGGUCUUGACAUCCUGCUGACCGUUCCUUAACCGGAACUUUUCUUCGGAACAGCAGAGACAGGUGGUGCAUGGUUGUCGUCAGCUCGUGUCGUGAGAUGUUGGGUUAAGUCCCGCAACGAGCGCAACCCUUAUCUUCAGUAGCCAGCGGUUAAGCCGGGCACUCUGGAGAGACUGCCGGGGACAACCCGGAGGAAGGUGGGGAUGACGUCAAAUCAUCAUGCCCCUUAUGAUCUGGGCUACACACGUGCUACAAUGGUAGGAACAAAGUGAAGCGAGCCUGCGAGGGGGAGCAAAUCACAAAAAAUCUAUCCCAGUUCGGAUUGUAGUCUGCAACUCGACUGCAUGAAGCUGGAAUCGCUAGUAAUCGUGAAUCAGAAUGUCACGGUGAAUACGUUCCCGGGUCUUGUACACACCGCCCGU
rnacentral:rRNA from 1 species